ACACUGUUGACGAGUCCCGAACAGGACGAAACAGAUGUCCAGUGC
rfam:Echinostoma caproni strain Egypt genome assembly, scaffold: ECPE_scaffold0025991